rnacentral:rRNA from 1 species
GACGAACGCUGGCGGCGUGCUUAACACAUGCAAGUCGAACGGUAAGGCUCCAGCUUGCUGAGGUACACGAGUGGCGAACGGGUGAGUAACACGUGGGUGACCUGCCCUGCACUUCGGGAUAAGCCUGGGAAACUGGGUCUAAUACCGGAUAGGACCGCACCGUGAGGGUGUGGUGGAAAGUUUUUUCGGUGUGGGAUGGGCCCGCGGCCUAUCAGCUUGUUGGUGGGGUAAUGGCCUACCAAGGCGGCGACGGGUAGCCGGCCUGAGAGGGUGGACGGCCACAUUGGGACUGAGACACGGCCCAGACUCCUACGGGAGGCAGCAGUGGGGAAUAUUGCACAAUGGGCGGAAGCCUGAUGCAGCGACGCCGCGUGGGGGAUGACGGCCUUCGGGUUGUAAACUCCUUUCACCAUCGACGAAGGGUUUCUGACGGUAGAUGGAGAAGAAGCACCGGCUAACUACGUG